GAUGAAGAACGUAGCGAAAUGCGAUAAGUAAUGUGAAUUGCAGAAUUCAGUGAAUCAUCGAAUCUUUGAACGUACAUUGCGCCCGCCAGUAUUCUGGCGGGCAUGCCUGUCUGAGCGUCAUUUCAACCCUCAUGCCCCUAGGGCGUGGUGUUGGGGAUCGGCCAAAGCCCGCGAGGGACGGCCGGCCCCUAAAUCUAGUGGCGGACCCGUCGUGGCCUCCUCUGCGAAGUAGUGAUAUUCCGCAUCGGAGAGCGACGAGCCCCUGCCGUUAAACCCCCAACUUUCCAAGGUUGACCUCAGAUCAGGUAGGAAUACCCGCUGAACUUAAGCAUAUCAAUAAGCGGAGGA
rnacentral:misc_RNA from 1 species